AUUGAACGCUAGCGGCAUGCUUAACACAUGCAAGUCGAACGGCAGCGCGAGGAGCUUGCUCCUUGGCGGCGAGUGGCGAACGGGUGAGUAACGCGUAGGAAUCUACCUUAGAGUGGGGGAUAACCCGGGGAAACUCGGGCUAAUACCGCAUAGUCUCUACGGAGUAAAGCGGGGGAUCUUAGGACCUCGUGCUUUAAGAUGAGCCUGCGUCGGAUUAGCUUGUUGGUGGGGUAAUGGCCUACCAAGGCAACGAUCCGUAGCUGGUCUGAGAGGACGAUCAGCCACACUGGGACUGAGACACGGCCCAGACUCCUAUGGGAGGCAGCAGUGGGGAAUAUUGGACAAUGGGGGCAACCCUGAUCCAGCAAUGCCGCGUGUGUGAAGAAGGCCUUCGGGUUGUAAAGCACUUUCAGCGGGAAGAAAGCUUAAAGAUAAUACCUUUGAGUCUUGACGUUUACCCGCAGAAGAAGCACUGGUAACUCUGUGCCAGC
rnacentral:rRNA from 1 species